rnacentral:rRNA from 1 species
GAUGAACGCUGGCGGCAUGCCUAAUACAUGCAAGUCGAACGGGGUGCUUGCACCCAGUGGCGAACGGGUGAGUAACACGUAUCUAAUCUACCCAUUAGCGGGGGAUAACAGUUGGAAACGACUGCUAAUACCGCAUACGACAUUUUCUGGCAUCAGAGAAUGUUAAAAAGUCCGUUUGGAUCACUAAUGGAUGAGGAUGCGGCGUAUUAGUUAGUUGGUGGGGUAAUAGCCUACCAAGACAAUGAUACGUAGCCGAACUGAGAGGUUGAUCGGCCACAUCGGGACUGAGACACGGCCCGAACUCCUACGGGAGGCAGCAGUAGGGAAUUUUUCACAAUGGGCGAAAGCCUGAUGGAGCAAUGCCGCGUGACUGAAGACGGUCUUCGGAUUGUAAAGGUCUGUUGUAAGGGAAGAACAGUAAGUAUAGGAAAUGAUACUUAUUUGACGGUACCUUAUCAGAAAGCCACGGCUAACUAUGUGCCAGCAGCCGCGGUAAUACAUAGGUGGCAAGCGUUAUCCGGAUUUAUUGGGCGUAAAGCGUGCGCAGACGGUUUAACAAGUUUAGGGUCAAAUCCUGGAGCUCAACUCCAGUUCGCCUUGAAAACUGUUAAGCUAGAGUGUAAGAGAGGUCGAUGGAAUUCCAUGUGUAGCGGUGAAAUGCGUAGAUAUAUGGAGGAACACCAGUGGCGAAGGCGGUCGACUGGGCCUAUCACUGACGUUUAGGCACGAAAGCGUAGGGAGCAAAUAGGAUUAGAUACCCUAGUAGUCUACGCCGUAAACGAUGAGUACUAAGUGUCGGACUAAGUUCGGUGCUGCAGCUAACGCAUUAAGUACUCCGCCUGAGUAGUAUGCUCGCAAGAGUGAAACUCAAAGGAAUUGACGGGGACCCGCACAAGCGGUGGAGCAUGUGGUUUAAUUCGAAGCAACGCGAAGAACCUUACCAAGGCUUGACAUCCAGUGCAAAGCUGUAGAAAUACAGUGGAGGUUAACAUUGAGACAGGUGGUGCAUGGUUGUCGUCAGCUCGUGCCGUGAGGUGUUUGGUUAAGUCCAGUAACGAGCGCAACCCUUGCCGUUAGUUACUCUAUUAAGUUGAGAUACUCUAACGGGACUGCUAGUGUAAGCUAGAGGAAGGUGGGGAUGACGUCAAAUCAGCAUGCCCCUUAUGUCUUGGGCUACACACGUGCUACAAUGGUUGGUACAAACAGUUGCGAUCUCGUAAGAGGGAGCUAAUCUGAAAAAGCCGAUCUCAGUUCGGAUUGAGGGCUGCAACUCGCCCUCAUGAAGCCGGAAUCGCUAGUAAUCGCGAAUCAGCAAUGUCGCGGUGAAUACGUUCUCGGGUCUUGUACACACCGCCCGUCACACCAUGAGAGUUGAUAAUACCAGAAGUCGGUAUUCUAACCGCAAGGAAGAAGCCGCCCAAGGUAGGAUUGAUGAUUAGGGUG